CCGCUUGCAGGUAAACAGAUGGACCCACGAAGUCCUGUUGAAUGAGGGAUUCACAUAGUUCAAGAGGCGUUCUAUGCAAUGAUGUCCUUUAUUGGAUAAGUUGUGUGGAUCUGUCGAUUGGAAGAUGCAUUUCUCUUGUUCACGCUGGAGCUCUGACUGUUCAGAGAGGCUUUAACUGCUUAAGUCAGCUUGCUUUAGUGGUGGGAUCUUCGGAUUCAAUUCACUUUAGCAAGUGAGUAAGUGAAGUCAAGCUGAAUGGGUGAAUUACUUAUGUAUGUAAGUGUUCAGGUCAUCGGUAGAUUUUAUUUGUCAAAAACGUAGAGUAGAGGAACUUCGGCUCUCGCAGUUGAAGCCCUUUGCUUAUGCGGUUUUAAGUACAAGUGGAAGCUAUCAAUGGUGAUCCAGAGUAAGUAGGUCGGUCAUCCAUCUGACCCGUCUUGAAACACGGACCAAGGAGCCCAACAACUGCGCGAGUCGCUCGGUCUUGCAUAGGCCUGAGAGGCGAAAUAAACAUAACGGUAUGAUCCUGUUUUCCUUUCGAGGGAAUGGGCGCAAUACCAACCUGCUCAUCUUGCCUUUUGACAAGUGAGCGGAGUUUGAGCGUAAUUGUUGGUACCCGAAAGAUGGUGAACUAUACUUGGGCAAGACGAAGCCAGAGGAAACUCUGGUGGAGGUCUGUAGCGAUUCUGACGUGCAAAUCGAUCGUCAGACCUGAGUAUAGGGGCGAAAGACUAAUCGAACCAUCUAGUAGCUGGUUCCCUCCGAAGUUUCCCUCAGGAUAGCUGGCAUUAUUACUCUGUAGCACUCGGUAAAGCGAAUGAUUAGAGGUCUUGGGAUCGAAACGAUCUCAACCUAUUCUCAAACUUUAAAUGGGUGCGAGGCUUGACUUUUUUGAUUAAAGUCUGGCUUCGUAAGAGUAGUGCCAAGUGGGCCAUUUUUGGUAAGCAGAACUGGCGCUGUGGGAUGAACCAAACGCUGAGUUAAGGCACCAAAUGCCGACGCUCAUGAGACCCCAUGAAAGGUGUUGGUUGCUACAGACAGCA
rnacentral:rRNA from 1 species